rnacentral:rRNA from 1 species
CCGACGGGUGAGUAACACGUAUGCAAUCCACCUGUAACAGGGGGAGUAACCCGGAGAAAUCGGACUAAUACCCAUAAUAUGGGCGCUCCGCAUGGAGAGUCCAUUAAAGAGAGCAAUCUUGGUUACAGACGAGCAUGCGCUCCAUUAGCCAGUUGGCGGGGUAACGGCCCACCAAGGCGACGAUGGAUAGGGGUUCUGAGAGGAAGGUCCCCCACAUUGGAACUGAGACACGGUCCAA